CUGGAUGAUGAUCAUUUUUAACGCGGAGAUCUCUUCGAUGAAGAUCAAAAACUACGCAACAACUUACACUCUAAUUUUUUACUGACU
rnacentral:snoRNA from 1 species